rnacentral:rRNA from 1 species
CAUAGCUUAAUGUAAAUAUUAAGUUAAUUCUGCCCAAUGAGUUUAAUGGCCGCAGUACCUUGACUGUGCUAAGGUAGCAUAAUAAUUUGUCUUUUAAUUGAAGUCUGGAAUGAAAGGGAAACGGGAAAGUUGUCUCUAAUAGAGUUUAUAAAUUUACUUAUAAGGUGAAAACACCUUAGGAGUUUAAUAGACGAGAAGACCCUUAGAGUUUUAACUAUUUUUGUUGGGGCGACAAAGUUAUAAUUAACUUACUUAUUAUAAGAACACGCCGAGUAUGAAUAAACUACCUAAGGGAUAACAGCAUAAUUUAAAGAUUAUGACCUCGAUGUUGGAUUAGGGGGUAAUGAUUAGUGAUUAUUAUUGUUCUGUUCGAACCCUACGUGAUCU